AGUUUUGUAUUCAUAAGAUGAUAAUAGAAUGCAAUUCUAUAGGAGUAGUAAAAGCUACUAAGACUU
rnacentral:tRNA from 1 species